rnacentral:rRNA from 1 species
AACGAACGCUGGCGGCAUGCCUAACACAUGCAAGUCGAACGAUGCCUUCGGGCAUAGUGGCGCACGGGUGCGUAACGCGUGGGAAUCUGCCCUUGGCCUCGGAAUAACAGUUAGAAAUGACUGCUAAUACCGGAUGAUGUCCCCCUGAGAGAUCUUGGGGACCAAAGAUUUAUCGGCCAGGGAUGAGCCCGCGUCGGAUUAGGUAGUUGGUGGGGUAAAGGCCUACCAAGCCGACGAUCCUUAGCUGGUCUGAGAGGAUGAUCAGCCACACUGGGACUGAGACACGGCCCAGACUCCUACGGGAGGCAGCAGUGGGGAAUAUUGGACAAUGGGGGGAACCCUGAUCCAGCAAUGCCGCGUGAGUGAUGAAGGCCUUAGGGUUGUAAAGCUCUUUUACCAGGGAUGAUAAUGACAGUACCUGGAGAAUAAGCUCCGGCUAACUCCGUG